UCUAAAAGCACUCUGUGUGGGGAACAUGAGAGCCAGACCAAAGCUCAGAGGAACCCACCUGGACCUCCACCCAGCUGUGUGUCCUUACAGAGUGACAAAGUGAAUAAAUCUGAACAAAGACAGUCAUCUGAGAAAAAGAUCCGUCAGAGUCUCAAAUGUGGACCUCCACUCAGCUCUGUGUCCUUAAAAAGUGACUGGUCUGCAGAUCGUCCCAUUAAUUUUAAAGUCCAGCCUCUGUUUGCAGCAGAGAGGAAGAAGCAACAUGAGAGCCAGACCAAAGCUCAGAGGAAGAAACAUAGAAGGAGGAGGAAAUGUAAACCUGAACCAGAAACUGAACCUGGACCUCAACCCAGCUCUGUGUCCUUACAGACUGACACGUCUAAAGAUAACACCG